rnacentral:tRNA from 2 species
GGCGGGCAUCGCGGCGGCGGUGGGGGCCGAGGCGGCGCUGUGGCUGCUGCAAAGCCGGGUGUUCGACUUCCCGUGGACGCCG